rnacentral:pre_miRNA from 1 species
AAUUGUUGUGUUCAGAGUGUACAGAUGUGGAUAUAUAAGGGUUAGUAAACAGUACAAAACCCAUUUAAUAGAGAUUCCGUGAGAAACAUCUUAUUGUAGAUUGUUGGCUGUUUCAGAUCCAGCAAGCAACAAAGCAGCUGUAUUUUGAUCGCCAUACUCAUUAAAUGGGUUGUCUGUUUGCUCUUUACCAGCCCUUCUGCUAUCCACAUUCGUACUAGUUUGUCCACAUCAAUU